rnacentral:lncRNA from 1 species
CGUCUAUCGGGAGUGGCUUUAAGCAUAACUGUAGCAUACCGAAUUUUUUUUUAAUAAAAGUGAAUAAAUAAAAAUAGUGUGAGAUACUAUUUUUAUUGGAUUUAGACAAGUAAAUUAUACGUCAGGAUUGACUCGUGCGGAAAUCGGAGUGAAAAUAGAAGAUUGAGAAUUUUCUGUGAGAGACGGGGCUGAUAUUUUAGCAGAAAAUGCACAGUGUCGGAAAAUUUCAAAAAUUUGGAAAUAUAUUAGGAUUAUUUUUAUGAGGCUAGAUUUAAAUUUUCAUGUCAUUCUGACACCCGGAAGGUGGAGAAUAAAAUCCGAUUCCUAUCUGCUUGAGAUUACUGUUCGAAAUAGCUUUCGGUGACCAAAUGGGGUCGAAACUGAAAGANACAAUCUGAUGUGAAUAGUGUUUUGGGAGUAUAUAUAUGUGAACUUGCACUCUUUUUCUCAUUUGUGCCCAACCCGAGAGAGACUUGGAGAGCAAGUUUCUUUUCUCCUUUUCUCUCUUUCUCUCUAGCUCUCACCCCUCACUCCUUUUCUCUUCUAAUCUCUCCACAAAAGAGGAUUAAUUGGAGAAGAAGUUGGAGUAGAAUCCUUGAAUGUUGGAGAGUAGCUUGGAGCUCAAGCUUUCAUCUUCUUCCUCUCUAUUAGAGAAAGCUUUGGAGGUAAGCUUUGGUAGUAACUAUAGUAGAUUGCUAAGGAAUGAUUCGUAUGCUCUAAGAAUGGGUUUAGAGAACUCCCUAGAUGCUAAUAACAUGUUAAUUGCAUGAAUCAAGUUCCAAUUUGGUGAUUUCUUGCAAUAGUAGCAUGUUAAGGCUCAAAUUGGGGUUUUGCUAUAUAUAGAGGUUUGAUCUAAAUUGAGCAUGUAUAAACCUAAUUGCUAGGUUUUCUGAUGAGUUGGUGAAGUCGGUUCGGCGAUACGACGAGGCUACGCGAAGAUAUUGAAGAAAAGGCCGAUUUCGGUACAGAUUGUUGCUGCUCGCGACGUAAGCUUCCAAAAAUCACGAAACCCGAAUCGUAGCAUCGUGAUAUCACCUAAAGUCUUGGAGCUAAGAGAGUCGGGGGCACGAAGGAUCGCGUGGAGUUCUCGGUGGGUUUGACCUCGCUACAAAUGAGAAAAUCUCAUUUAUGUGGAUUUAAGUAUCGUAAAAUGAAAAAUCACGCAUUUUUAUGAUAGAUGCAUUAUUUGUGAAUUUUAGAAUGCUUGAAAUGCUUAUGUUAUAUACAAUGCAUUUUUCGGACUUCUAUGUAGUAGAGAGCUUGCAAGGGAGACUUAUGCAUGGGUUUAGCAUUCUAAUUGGGACUUGGAAUCAUGCUUCAUAUAGUAGACAUGACAAAUGUAAUAUGCCUUAGACAUAAAUCUCAUUGGACAUAGGAGAAUGCAUUAGGCCAUAAAGUGGCUUUGGACUUGAAUAACAUGUGAGUUAGGGAGCUAAUGUCGUAAUGCGACAUCGGGCUUGAGCUAUGAAUGAGCCUAGCAAAGUAAUGCCUUAAAGAGGCAUUAGACUUGAAUGAUAUGUAAAUUGCAUGUGCAUGUUAAUAUUAUGAGAAUUAUGCUAAGUUGGUAGUUGUAUUGUAGAGUUUAUGCAUGUAGCAUUGUGAAAACUAUGCUAAGUUGAUAGUUGCAUACGAAUGCUUUGAAACCAUAUGCUAGUGGAUAGAUGCAUAUUAAUAUUUAUAUGCAUUGAGGAAUACAUGCUAGAUACAUAUUAGCAAUGUGAGAUUAUGCUAGAGAGCAUGCGUAUUUAACCUAUUAUUGGUAUAUUAAGCUAAUGUCAUAAAGCGACAUUGAGCUUGGGACAUGUAUGAACCUAGUAAGCUAAUGUCAUGAAGAGACAUUGGGCUUGGAAUUGGGGUAGUAAGCUAAUGCCAUAAGAGGCAUUAGGCUUGGAGUACAUAUGGACUUAAUAAAUCUAAGGUCACAUAAGACAUUGGAAUCAUUGACAUAGUAAACCUUCACUUGAGGCAUAAACUAGACCUAUGGAUUGCUAGUAAGUAAUUCCAUAUUUUAGACAUGAGGACUUGAUCCACCAGACAGCCUUCGGGUGGGUCUCACACUAGACAGCCUUCGGGUGGGUCUUAUCAGAGUUGAACUUUAAAUAGUUAAAGUGCCAUGUGGACAUUGACUAGAANAACAGUAAACAAUAAGUGAUAAACACUAUUUGAUUGUGUAUCGUGGUUGGAUUCUGUUGACAUUGGGAAUUGUGGUAUCCUUAAUUGCCACGAUAGUAUACUUCGUAGUAUUACUUGUUGCAUCACAGCUUUUGGGUAGCCAUGGUAGGGCAUACCUGUUAUGCAUCAGCAUAUCGGAUUCAUGAUAGAGUAGAUGUACUCCACGUUCAUAUCAUGUAUACUUGUGGCAUAGUAGAAUAGCAUUUCAAUAUAUGCUUAUAUUUCCGCAGUUGUUAUUUCGUUAUCUAUAUCUGCUCUUGACUUGGGCCUAGUGGAGCUUUUUGCUAAUUAAGGUCAGUAAUUGCUCACUGGGAACUAUAAAUUAUCGUUCUCACGCCCUCUGUUUUAUGUUUUCAUUCAGAGCCUUCCACCCCAGGAGAGGCUUGGGAUCGCGGGAAAGGAAUCGCCUCGAGUUAGCUAGCGAGGGAUUGGUGGAUCGGUAGUCUACAUCUCUUUUGUUUCUUUUGGAGAGGUUGAGAGACUUGUACCAUUUUGUAGAGACCACCCACUAUUUGUAUUUUGAGACUUAUGAUGUACUACUUUACAUUUUACUUUAGCAGUCUAGUUUCUGUGGUUUCUACUGGUUAAUAGAACCUAGCUAUAUACUUGCUCUGAUAUCUCUAGAUAUUCUCUAUUUAUUGUUCUUUUAUUCGCUAUUGUUGUAGACGCCUUAUAUGUGCAGGCAUAUGGCGGGUCUGGGCACGCACCGGGCAGGCCUAUGCCGGUUCUCGGGGCGUGACAGAUUAGUUUGGUAUCAGAGCCUAGGGUUGAGUCUUAGGGGACCUAGCAAACCUUAGGCUGGUUGGACUAUAGGAAAUAGGCUCGUGAGAGACGAGGUCUAUUUGACAUGUAAGCGAAAGUAUCUCGAUUGGGUAUCUUGGAACAGCUCUAGAAAGUGGAGUUAAAUUGAAGUGUAUAGCCUCUAACUUCGCGGAGGGUUACGUUGGCGGUCGACAACGUAACAUCGGGAGUUAGUAGUGAAUCACACUUCCUUACUUUCGCCUGAUUUCGGUAUUAUCUUUGAGCGGGGAUGCGAUAGCGUGGGUUUCAUUAACUUGCGCUUUUAUGAUGUUGUAGUGCGAUGCCGAUUACACGCUCCCAGUCUGUCGGAGCGGAUGACGCGGCACACUUUGAGGAGGUGGAGACCUCCGCUACUUCCGUAUCCGGCGAGGUCCGUGAGUUGAGAGGCCAGCUUGCGGCCCUUACCGACUUAGUUACGCAGCAGACGAAGGCGGCGCGCCGACAGGAGGCGCGAAUGAAGCGCCUGGAGGACCUACUGUUGCAGCAGGCGGCAGCCUCUAGGGAGACUCAGGCCCCUCCACCGCCCGCACCAGUUGUAAACGUUGCACCGAGAGCGUCGUCCCCCGCGCCCAGUUCUUCGCGCACAGCGCCCGUGGCCGCGCCCCAGGAGAGGGUUAUUGCGGCGCCACCUGUUCAGGCACCCCCGACUGGAGCUAUUUUCCCCGUGAUGGUUGAAGGGGCAGAGCGGGACCGACUGAUAGAGCGCCUCAACGAGUUCAAGAGGUGCGGUCCCCGGAUCUUUGACGGCAAGAAGGUCGACCACUGGGUCGUGGAAAAGUGGUUGAUGCAUGUGGAGAAACUCUUCCGCGACACCUUCGUAGAGAAGAGAGAUCGAGUUUGGCUCGCCACACAUCACCUGGACGGCGAGGCCUACCGCUGGUGGUUGGAUCUCCAAGAGAACCCCAGCAUCGACUUGGCGGCGAUUUCAUGGAAGAAGUUCAAGGAGCUUCUAUUGGCGCACUACUUCCCGACUAGUGUCAAGCGAAAGAUGGAGCAGGAUUUGCGCAACCUGCACCAGGGAGAUCGGACUGUAGCCGAGUACGAGCGGGAGUAUUCUCGGCUUCUGCAUUGCGCGCCCUUCGUCGUGCGAGACGACGAGGAUAAGGCCCGCAUUUUCGAGCAAGGUUUGCGACCGUCGAUUUUCCGGUUCGUGCAAUCCUCUAACCUCCAAACCUACCGGGAGGUGGUGGAUCGCGCGCUCAUCGUGGAGAGCUGCGCGGCAGAGGUACAGGAGCGGCGAGAGGCCAUCGAUAAGGGAAAGGCCAAGAGGCCUGCGGCUGAGGGUGCGAGUCCGACGCACUCUAGGAGACCGCCGAAGCAUCCUAGGAGCCAGCAGCGUGGACACGACUCAGCGGCGCAGCGAGGAGGUUCUGACCGUCGCCGGCCUUCCCCGUGUGUGAUUUGCGGUGGUCCUCAUUUCCCACCGCAAUGUUCGCAGCGGGCUGGCAGGUGCUUCCGAUGUGGCCAGGAUGGCCACGUUCGAGCUGAGUGCCCGAGAGGUUCGUCACUAGCACCGUCGACUGCAUCGGCACCAGCUCUACCAGCCGCUAGCCAAGGGACUAUGUCGACACCGUACCAGCCUAGGCGGCUACCCGUCCAGCGUCUGAGCGAGGGAUCUUGUCAGGCCCCGAGUGGGCGCAUGUACGCCGCUCAGACCGCGGAGGCAACAGCGGCCGAGUUUGUGGCUACAGGUAUCAGUUGUUUUUGUGACAUCCGAAUUGUGCGUUGUUGAUUAUCGUUGCAUCGUUUGCAUCCUUUGAUCGGCUGUUUGCCGAGUUGCAUGGCAUCCUAUUAGAUCUGUUGCUUACGAGACGCGUGUUUCUCCGACCACUCCUUGGACAUUAGAGAGUUUGCCCUGUCGCCCUAUUUGGGACAAGAGGAGGUUGUGUACCGAGGAUGCCAGAGCUCGCUGUUUGCGAUGACUUUCAGCUCUCUUGAGCUAGGCGGUUGAUUUGCGGGUUGUGGGUGGCAUGUUUUCCUAUGCCUUGUGAAUCACACGAUGAUUGCAUUAGUUGCAUCCCGUGAUCGGCUGUUCGCCGGAUGGUGCUUGGAGACGACCGUGCCUGGACCGUUUGUGGACUGUGGAGCCUGGGCCCUUUGGGCAGGCGCAGUCAGCUAUGUGUGACAGCGACCCGGUACCUACGGGUCGGGCAGAGUUUGGUCAGGACGGUAGUCCGAGCUUUGACUUUGGAGCGUGGAAUGCCACGUGUUGGAUCGUGAGAUCGAGGAUACACCGAGUGUGUGGUGACCCAACCCGAGGAUUUUGUUACCGUUGAACUUUUUCGACGCUUGUAGGAUGAUCUGUUGAUCAGGUGUGUCGUCUCGAACACCCUACCACGUGAGAUGGUUUUGUGUGCCGACAAAUGGAUUGGCCUUGUUUGAUGUUGGAGUUGUUGUGGGUACCUAGUACUCUUGGAUUGCGAGCUGACUUGACUCGCCUUGAGAAUUUUUUUUGUGCACGAAAUAGUGCGGUUUGAGGAUUUAUUUUCGCUGGUUGUGUUGAUUAUCACCUUACCUAAAAUCGGGUAAUUACUGGGGAGGAUAGUAUUUAUGGUUCGUUAGAGCAUGUCGUGUUGGACAACGACGUCGAGUGUUGCUUGGAGACGACCAUGCCUGGACCGUUUGUGGACUGUGGAGCCUGGGCCCUUUGGGCAGGCGCAGUCAGUUGUGUGUGACAGCGACCCUGUACCUACGGGUGGGGCAGAGUUUGGUCAAGACGGUAGUUCGAGCUUAGACCGGGGAGCAUAGAAUGCCACGUAUUGGAUCUUGGAUAGCUAUGUGGAAUCUGAGGAUAAUGCUCUUUGGAGGACUGAAGGUGGAGAUGCGCUGGAGUGUGCCAUCUCACGGCAGAGCUAAAGUCCAUGUAGAAGUAGAGCACUCACAAGGGAGCAAUGCACCUGCGAUAUUGCUUCUAAGCAAUGCCGGUUAUUGAAUCGCAGUGUGUUCUCUUGGGAGAAGUAUGCUAAUGUCUUCAAUGGCUCGAUAGGUCGAGUUGAGGUGUGAUUGAAGUUUCGAGGACGAAACUCUUUUUAAGAGGUGGAGAAUGUAGCAUACCGAAUUUCUUUUUAAUAAAAGCGAAUAAAUAAAAAUAGUGUGAGAUACUAUUUUUAUUGGAUUUAGACAAGUAAAUUAUACGUCAGGAUUGACUCGUGCGGAAAUCGGAGUGAAAAUAGAAGAUUGAGAAUUUUCUGUAAGAGACGGGGCUGAUAUUUUAGCAGAAAAUGCAUAGUGUCAGAAAAUUCCGAAAAUUUGGAAAUAUGUUAGGAUUAUUUUUAUGAGGCUAGAUUUAAAGUUUCAUGUCAUUCUGACACCCGGAAGGUGGAGAAUAAAAUCCGAUUGUUAUCUGCUUGAGAUUACUGUUCGAAAUAGCUUUCGGUGACCAAAUGGGGUCGAAACUGAAAGAUUAAAAUUUCUUUCAUUAAGUUAGGUAAAACUGAUCAUGACUGCCAAAUUUGUGCUCAAUCGGACGUUUAGAAGGGCAGACGAAAAAUAUCUGUACCUGAGCUACAAACUGAUGUGAAUAGUAUUUUGGGAGUAUAUAUAUGUGAACUUGCACUCUUUUUCUCAUUUGUGCCCAACCCGAG